GAUGAACGCUGGCGGCGUGCCUAACACAUGCAAGUCGAGCGAGAUAAAUGUGAGUGGAGACUUCGGUCAAAGCAAUCAUUUUGAAAGCGGCGGACGGGUGAGUAACGCGAGAGCAAUCUGCCCCAUACAAAGGGAUACCCACUGGAAACGGUGAUUACUACCUUAUACGACCACGAAGUCGCCUGGCUUAGUGGCCAAAGAUUUAUCGGUAUGGGAUGAGCCCGCGUCUGAUUAGCUAGUUGGUGAGGUAAUGGCUCACCAAGGCGACGAUCAGUAGCCGACCUGAGAGGGUGGACGGCCACACUGGAACUGAGACACGGUCCAGACUCCUACGGGAGGCAGCAGUGGGGAAUAUUGCACAAUGGGCGCAAGCCUGAUGCAGCAACGCCGCGUGAAUGAUGAAGGCCUUCGGGUCGUAAAGUUCUGUCCUAAGGGAAGAAUACAGUGACGGUACCUUAGGAGGAAGCCCCGGCUAACUACGUGCCAGCCGCCGCGGUAA
rnacentral:rRNA from 1 species